rnacentral:rRNA from 1 species
AUUGAACGCUGGCGGCAGGCCUAACACAUGCAAGUCGAGCGAGCGGCGGACGGGUGAGUAAUGUCUGGGAAACUGCCUGAUGGAGGGGGAUAACUACUGGAAACGGUAGCUAAUACCGCAUACCAUCAGAUGUGCCCAGAUGGGAUUAGCUAGUAGGUGGCGUAACGGCUCACCUAGGCGACGAUCACUACCUGGUCUGAGAGGAGGACCAGCCACACUGGAACUGAGACACGGUCCAGACUCCGACGGGAGGCAGCAGUGGGGAAUAUUGCACGAUGGGCGCAAGCCUCAUGCAGCCAUGCCGCGUGUGUGAAGAAGGCCUUCGGAUUGUAAAGCACUUUCAGCGGGGAGGCGGUACCCGCAGAAGAAGCACCGGCUAACUCCGUGCCAGCAGCCGCGGUAAUAC